rnacentral:rRNA from 1 species
UUGGAGGGCAAGUCUGGUGCCAGCAGCCGCGGUAAUUCCAGCUCCAAUAGCGUAUAUUAAAGUUGUUGCAGUUAAAAAGCUCGUAGUUGAAUUUCGGGAUCAGUGGGUUGGUCGUGCCUCUGGUACGUACUGGCUUUACCGAUUCCUCCCUUCUGAAGAACCACGAUGUCAUUAAUUUGGUGUUGUGGGGAAUCAGGACUGUUACUGUGAAAAAAUUAGAGUGUUUAAAGCAGGC